rnacentral:rRNA from 1 species
AUUGAACGCUGGCGGCAGGCCUAACACAUGCAAGUCGAGCGGAUGAAGGGAGCUUGCUCCUGGAUUCAGCGGCGGACGGGUGAGUAAUGCCUAGGAAUCUGCCUGGUAGUGGGGGAUAACGUCCGGAAACGGGCGCUAAUACCGCAUACGUCCUGAGGGAGAAAGUGGGGGAUCUUCGGACCUCACGCUAUCAGAUGAGCCUAGGUCGGAUUAGCUAGUUGGUGGGGUAAAGGCCUACCAAGGCGACGAUCCGUAACUGGUCUGAGAGGAUGAUCAGUCACACUGGAACUGGGACACGGUCCAGACUCCGACGGGGGGCAGCAGUGGGGAAUAUUGGACAAUGGGCGAAAGCCUGAUCCAGCCAUGCCGCGUGUGUGAAGAAGGUCUUCGGAUUGUAAAGCACUUUAAGUUGGGAGGAAGGGCAGUAAGUUAAUACCUUGCUGUUUUGACGUUACCAACAGAAUAAGCACCGGCUAACUUCGUG